AUACGGAGGGUGCAAGCGUUAUUCGGAAUCACUGGGCGUAAAGGACGCGUAGGCGGGUUGGCAAGUCAGAUGUGAAAUCCUACAGCUUAACUGUAGAACUGCAUUUGAAACUGCUAACCUAGAGUAUGGGAGGGGGAGAUGGAAUUAGUGGUGUAGGGGUAAAAUCCGUAGAUAUCACUAGGAAUACCGAAAGCGAAGGCGAUCUCCUGGAACAUAACUGACGCUAUGGCGUGAAAGCGUGGGGAGCAAACAGGAUUAGAAACCCCAGUAGUCC
rnacentral:rRNA from 1 species